AUGAACGCUGGCGGCGUGCCUAAUCCAUGCCAGUCGCGCGAACAGACGAGGAGCUUGCUCCUCUGACGUUAGCGGCGGACGGGUGAGUAACACGUGGAUAACCUACCUAUAAGACUGGGAUAACUUCGGGAAACCGGAGCUAAUACCGGAUAAUAUAUUGAACCGCAUGGUUCAAUAGUGAAAGACGGUUUUGCUGUCACUUAUAGAUGGAUCCGCGCCGCAUUAGCUAGUUGGUAAGGUAACGGCUUACCAAGGCAACGAUGCGUAGCCGACCUGAGAGGGUGAUCGGCCACACUGGAACUGAGACACGGUCCAGACUCCUACGGGAGGCAGCAGUAGGGAAUCUUCCGCAAUGGGCGAAAGCCUGACGGAGCAACGCCGCGUGAGUGAUGAAGGUCUUCGGAUCGUAAAACUCUGUUAUUAGGGAAGAACAAAUGUGUAAGUAACUAUGCACGUCUUGACGGUACCUAAUCAGAAAGCCACGGCUAACUACGUG
rnacentral:rRNA from 1 species